rnacentral:rRNA from 1 species
UGGGGAAUAUUGCACAAUGGGCGCAAGCCUGAUGCAGCAACGCCGCGUGAACGAUGAAGGUCUUCGGAUCGUAAAGUUCUGUUGCAGGGGAAGAUAAUGACGGUACCCUGUGAGGAAGCCCCGGCUAACUACGUGCCAGCAGCCGCGGUAAUACGUAGGGGGCUAGCGUUAUCCGGAUUUACUGGGCGUAAAGGGUGCGUAGGUGGUCUUUCAAGUCGGUGGUUAAAGGCUACGGCUCAACCGUAGUUAGCCUCCGAAACUGGAAGACUUGAGUGCAGGAGAGGAAAGUGGAAUUCCCAGUGUAGCGGUGAAAUGCGUAGAGAUUAGGAGGAACACCAGUAGCGAAGGCGGCUUUCUGGACUGCAACUGACACUGAGGCACGAAAGCGUGGGUAGCAAACAGG